GUACUAAAAACUAUUUAAUUGAAGUAUAAAACACAAUUUUUGUACAUUGUAAAGUUGUAAAAUUAUUUUGUAUUUGUUACAUGCAAAGAAGAAACAUAUGGCUCAACUUUUGAAGUUUGUUUAUGCUAUUAUUUUCUUGUUUUCCCUAUGCCUUGCUGCAACCAAAGAAAAAUUUCAUUCUUGCGUUAAUGCAAAUGAUUGUCCAUAUGAUUUUUGUUCCCCUCCUAAAUAUGCAAAGUGUGUUUAUAAUAGUUGUUAUUGUGAAGAUCAAGGCCGGUUAUGAUGGCGUACAAAGAGAUCAACAACACAUUGCCUCAAAAUUUUGAAGUUUUUUGGUCCUUUAUGUGAUAAAAACAUAAUAUUUUGGAAUAAUUUCAAGAGUUUAACACCA